ACUGGGAUAACUCCGGGAAACCGGAGCUAAUACCGGAUAGUUCCUUGAACCGCAUGGUUCAAGGAUGAAAGACGGUUUCGGCUGUCACUUACAGAUGGACCCGCGGCGCAUUAGCUAGUUGGUGAGGUAACGGCUCACCAAGGCGACGAUGCGUAGCCGACCUGAGAGGGUGAUCGGCCACACUGGGACUGAGACACGGCCCAGACUCCUACGGGAGGCAGCAGUAGGGAAUCUUCCGCAAUGGACGAAAGUCUGACGGAGCAACGCCGCGUGAGUGAUGAAGGUUUUCGGAUCGUAAAGCUCUGUUGUUAGGGAAGAACAAGUGCAAGAGUAACUGCUUGCACCUUGACGGUACCUAACCAGAAAGCCACGGCUACUACGUGCCGCAGCCGCGGUAAU
rnacentral:rRNA from 1 species